GAAGAUGCCAGAAGACAUAUGGAUUUUUUUUUUUUAAGUUAAGUUUGACCAGUCAUCAGUGCUUAGUAUGAGAUGGACGAUGAUGGCUUUGGCUAAAUUAUGAGCCCUUUUGCUUGAAGCUCUGGCUCCACAGGUGCUCACCAUCUGAUAUCAGCAGAAAAGGAGAAACUUCUUAUACUGAUCAGUGGCCAUUGCUUCUUCCUCCUCUUGGGAAACUCAACUUUUCAGGAAACGCAGGUACAGAUGUUGCUCGUGAAAUGGUUGUGGAAUGUUGACAGGAAAGUCAGGUGCUGUUUUAUGUUGAUAUUUCCUUACUGUUUAAACCUGUGAGCAGGUUUCAGUUGAGCUACUUGCACUUCUUGGCUCAGAAAGUCUGGAUAGCAGUCCAGGUGCCACACAGAUGGAAAAUUGGGACAGACCACAUAUCAAUUGAUGAACUUAGAGAGAUGCCAAAUCAGAUUCAGGAUUUCCAGGUUAUCAAGAAUAGCAAGACUUUCUUGAAGUUGUAGGAAGAAUGGAGAUGGCCUGACUCCAAAACUUACUUGGGCAUGAAGGUUUGUUUAGCUACCAAUGAGAUGAAAGGUGGGUGGAGACCCUGCUCACGUUGUUCUAAAACCAAGAAAAAAUACUACAGAAAUUGAAAGCAAAUUUUAAGGGAAAAAAACAUUACUCUCUCUCUCUUAGGGUGAGGUAUUGCUCAUUAGAAGAGGUGCAACUGAAAUUUUAGAUAUGUCCUGGAAUAUUCAAAGUUAACUAAAACAUUUUGUGAAAUUUGUCAAAUCUGGCUCAGGUUCUGAGUUUGUAACAGUUCAGGGUCUAGAUCACUUGGUUCUGUGUACUUUCCACAUAGCAUGUAUGAGUAUGUUCAACAACGUAAUAACAUGAUGCAGUGCAUUAGAUGUAAGCAUCAGUCCAGCAGCUCAGCAUCCCACCUGCUGGCUGGGGGACCACGGGAACAUUGCUGCUGCCUGCCUGCCUGUUGCUCCUGUUGUUGGCUGUGCUCCCACCAGGCUGUUAUGUACAGACAGGAGUCACAGUUACAAUCCGACUUCUAUGCCCAGUCACCAUAUAAGAAGUUCAUCUGGAUAACUAAUCUGCUCCCCACAGAGGCACCAGAUGGAGAGACCUGCCCCUUCUGGGCAUUGCUUCCUCACUGGUGGACCAGCAGUUCAGAUGUUGACCACAUCAGCUGCUAUCAGUGAAUGGCUUAAGUUGAGCAGAGUGGGUCAUCUAACUCUUGGCUGAGCAGAGGAAGAAUAAUCUGGUAGAGUCACAACUGACAUCAGCUACGAUGCCAUCCUCAAAGCCGUCCUUUAAAUAUGUGGAGUGGGAAGUAUGUAUGAGAAGUGAAGGCUACACAAGACAAGUAUAUCUUGUGGAGUCUCAGGACACAGCUCCAGCAGUGGAUGUUGCACAGGCAAAGUCCAAGGCUGCCUGUCAUCGAGAUGGAAAGGUUUUUCUCUACCCAAAGACCAAAGAGUUACAUGCCACAGAACUUGCACUGUAAUUAAUCACUUGGUGACGUUUCAACAUGUGAGGAAAAAAAAAAAAAGUCUGUCUCUUUCACUUUAGAGUGAAAAACUGUGAAGUCUGUCAGUAAACAUUCUGAUCAGACAUUAAUUUCAUAGCAGUCUCAUUUUGAUGCCUGACACUGCUGUGUCAUCUGGGCUUUUUCAUUCGUUAUGUGCAUUUGUUAUUUUAAUCUUAAAAUGUCUAUCUGUGCAAUUCAGUUGAGAGAUUUCUGUUUUCAAUAAUAUAUUUGCCAUAAUGCUUUCCUUCCUCCUUCAGACCUCUCUGAAAUCAAGCACUGCAGUCCACUGACAUGUUGACAGUUUUGCAUGAAUUUAUGAAAAAGGAGUUGGAAUUGGCUGACAAAGAUUUGUUUAUUAUUAUUAAACUGACUGUGUGUCUAAGUUGCUCUUCUGAAAAUAAAAUUAAGAGAAGGAGAAACUGAAAAAAGUGU
ensembl:lncRNA